rnacentral:rRNA from 1 species
GAGUUUGAUCCUGGCUCAGGAUGAACGCUGGCGGCGUGCCUAAUACAUGCAAGUCGAGCGAACAGAUAAGGAGCUUGCUCCUUUGAAGUUAGCGGCGGACGGGUGAGUAACACGUGGGUAACCUACCUAUAAGACUGGGAUAACUUCGGGAAACCGGAGCUAAUACCGGAUAACAUUUAGAACCGCAUGGUUCUAAAGUGAAAGAUGGUUUUGCUAUCACUUAUAGAUGGACCCGCGCCGUAUUAGCUAGUUGGUAAGGUAACGGCUUACCAAGGCGACGAUACGUAGCCGACCUGAGAGGGUGAUCGGCCACACUGGAACUGAGACACGGUCCAGACUCCUACGGGAGGCAGCAGUAGGGAAUCUUCCGCAAUGGGCGAAAGCCUGACGGAGCAACGCCGCGUGAGUGAUGAAGGGUUUCGGCUCGUAAAACUCUGUUAUUAGGGAAGAACAAAUGUGUAAGUAACUGUGCACAUCUUGAC